rnacentral:rRNA from 1 species
GACGAACCGUACAAACGUUAUUCGGAAUCACUGGGCUUAAAGGGUGCGUAGGCGGCCCGGAAAGUUGGGUGUGAAAGCCCUCGGCUCAACCGAGGAAUUGCGCCCAAAACUACCGGGCUUGAGGGACACAGAGGUAAGCGGAACUUAGGGUGGAGCGGUGAAAUGCGUUGAUAUCCUAAGGAACACCAGGAGCGAAAGCGGCUUACUGGGUGUCUUCUGACGCUGAGGCACGAAAGCUAGGGGAGCGAAC